CUUGAAAAAGGGAGUUCAAGAAGAGCUUCGAAGAAGCUUUCUUGAUGGAGGGGAGUGGCAGACGGGUGAGUAACGCGUGGGAAUCUACCGAGCCCUGCGGGAUAGCUCCGGGAAACUGGAAUUAAUACCGCAUGCGCCCUACGGGGGAAAGAUUUAUCGGGGUUUGAUGAGCCCGCGUUGGAUUAGCUAGUUGGUGGGGGAAAGGCCUACCAAGGCGACGAUCCAUAGCUGGUCUGAGAGGAUGAUCAGCCACAUUGGGACUGAGACACGGCCCAAACUCCUACGGGAGGCAGCAGUGGGGAAUAUUGGACAAUGGGCGCAAGCCUGAUCCAGCCAUGCCGCGUGAGUGAUGAAGGCCUUAGGGUUGUAAAGCUCUUUCACCGGAGAAGAUAAUGACGGUAUCCGGAGAAGAAGCCCCGGCUAACUUCGUGCCAGCCGCCGCCGUAAGAC
rnacentral:rRNA from 1 species